UGAGAAACACUCAAAAUGUGGUUUCGCAUCACUUUUUAUUUUAUAUAUUAUUGUAUAUAUGUUUUGUUUCUUUAAUUUUUUUUAAUUUUCGAACCGAUUGCUAUUUUUUUUAUAAAAAGUAAAUUUCGUAAUAAAAUUAAGAGUUUAAAUUAGAGAUAAGUUGGAAACUUCACACUUUUUUCACAUAUAAUUUGCAAAGUAGGUAGUUUUUUUUAGAAAUAGGGAGAAUAGACACUUUUCUCUUUCCUCUCUAAUACAACUUUCUAUCUAAUAGAGAUUUUAGUGAAUGACCUUUAUAACCUUUUGUUGUUUUGUCAUAUAGUCAAAUAAAGACAAAAAUAACUUUUGUUUCUUCUUCUCUUUACUUAUAUAUAUUUAGUUUGUUUUGUUAUAAAUUCUUCAUUAAAUAAUUACUAUAAAAUAUAUAUUAAUCUUUUAAAUUUUUUUCUGAAUCUAAAAAGUCUAAUUUUGCUAUAUUUUACAAAUAUAUAA
rnacentral:sRNA from 1 species